AGGUGAUGGACAACAGGUUGAUAUUCCUGUACUACCGAUAACCGUUUGAGAGAUGGGAUGACACAGUAGGAUAAGCUAAGCACACUGUUGGUUAUGUGUGCCCAAGCAUUGAGGCAGUCAAAGUAGGUAAAUCCGCUUUGAUAAUGCUGGGAUGGGAUGGGGAGCGAAAUUUAGUAGCGAAGUAGCUGAUUUCACACUGUCAAGAAAAGUCUCUAUCGAGGGUAAAGGUACCCGUACCGCAAACCGACACAGGUGGGUGAGGAGAGUAUCCUAAGGCCAGCGAGAGAACUGUUGUUAAGGAACUCGGCAAAAUGACCCCGUAACGUAGGGAUAAGGGGUGCCACCAUCCGGUGGCCGCAGAGAAUAGGCCCAAGCGACUGUUUACCAAAAACAUAGGUUUCUGCUAAGUCGCAAGACGAUGUAUAGGAGCUGACGCCUGCCCGGUGCUGGAA
rnacentral:rRNA from 1 species